rnacentral:rRNA from 1 species
CUUUAGUUGCCAUCAUUGAGUUGGGCACUCUAAAGAGACUGCCGGUGUCAAACCCGGAGGAAGGUGGGGAUGACGUCAAGUCCUCAUGGCCUUUAUGACCAGGGCUACACACGUACUACAAUGGCCGGUACAAAGGGCAGCGACACAGCGAUGUGAAGCCAAUCCCGAAAAGCCGGUCUCAGUCCGGAUUGGAGUCUGCAACUCGACUCCAUGAAGUUGGAAUCGCUAGUAAUCGCAGAUCAGCACGCUCGCGGUCCGAAUACGUUCCGGGCCUU